rnacentral:rRNA from 1 species
GUGGGGAAUAUUGGGCAAUGGGCGCAAGCCUGACCCAGCAACGCCGCGUGAAGGAAGAAGGCUUUCGGGUUGUAAACUUCUUUUACCAGGGACGAAACAAAUGACGGUACCUGGUGAAUAAGCCACGGCUAACUACGUGCCAGCAGCCGCGGUAAUCCGUAGGUGGCGAGCGUUAUCCGGAUUUAUUGGGUGUAAAGGGCGUGUAGGCGGGACAGCAAGUCAGAUGUGAAAACCAGAGGCUCAACCUCUGGCCUGCAUGUGAAACUGGUGUUCUGGAGUGUCGGAGAGGUAAGCGGAAUUCCGUGUGUAGCGGUGAAAUGCGUAGAUAUACGGAGGAACACCAGUGGCGAAGGCGGAUUACUGGACGAUAACUGACGCUGAGGCGCGAAAGCGUGGUGAGCAAACAGGAUUAGAAAUCCCAGUAGUCC